CGGGGUGAGUAAUGUCUGGGAAACUGCCUGAUGGAGGGGGAUAACUACUGGAAACGGUAGCUAAUACCGCAUAACGUCGCAAGACCAAAGAGGGGGACCUUCGGGCCUCUUGCCAUCGGAUGUGCCCAGAUGGGAUUAGCUAGUAGGUGGGGUAACGGCUCACCUAGGCGACGAUCCCUAGCUGGUCUGAGAGGAUGAUCAGCCACACUGGGACUGAGACACGGCCCAG
rnacentral:rRNA from 1 species